AUUGAACGCUGGCGGCAUGCCUAACACAUGCAAGUCGAACGGGGCAGCAAUGCCUAGUGGCGGACGGGUGAGGAAUACGUAGGAAUCUGCCCUUAAGUGGGGGAUAACCAGGGGAAACCCUGACUAAUACCGCAUGAUCUCUUCGGAGCAAAGAGGGGGACCGCAAGGCCUCUCGCUUCUGGAUGAGCCUACGUCUGAUUAGCUAGUUGGUAGGGUAAAGGCCUACCAAGGCGACGAUCAGUAACUGGUCUGAGAGGAUGAUCAGUCACACCGGAACUGAGACACGGUCCGGACUCCUACGGGAGGCGGCAGUGGGGAAUAUUGGACAAUGGGCGCAAGCCUGAUCCAGCAAUGCCGCAUGUGUGAAGAAGGCCUUCGGGUUGUAAAGCACUUUAGCCUGGAAAGAAAAAACUUUGGUUAACACCCAAAGUCUUGACGGUACCAGGAGAAUAAGCACCGGCUAACUCUGUGCCAGCAGCCGCAGUAAAAC
rnacentral:rRNA from 1 species